UGGAGAGAAGGGAGAAAGCUGGGUAUGGGAACAGAAGGAAAUAUGGACCAACAAAAUUUAGAUUUGGAACCACGGUGCAUAGGUUCCUGACCAGAGGACUCGCUUAGCCAGCUUUAUCAAUAUUUCCUCCUGCGGAAAAGCCAAACCCGCGAAUGCGGUGCAGAAGCUACCCAGAAGCUCUUGUGCGUCGGAGGGUGUGAAAGCACCGCCGACUGCGGCCCGCUGACAGGAUGACCCCAGCGCGCCAAGGCCAGCUGCAUGCAGCCUGCUGGCGGCGUGUCAGCUUCCUCGAAAAAGCGGAGAAGUGGAAUCUGCACACCCAGAAACUCGCUUCAGGAGCCUUAGGAGUCCAACUGAGCAUGCUCGGAACUUGGGGGCGCCUUGCAUCAAGGCACUUUCCAGCCGCUAACAUCUGCAUGGCUGGGCCAGAUGUGACCAAAGUGGGAGGCGUUGGCCCUGCUUCUUGGAGCAGGCUCCAGUUCCGGGAAGGGUGGUGGCGACGCCCAUAGCAGCCUUCUUCCCGGCUUCCUAGCGAGAGCAAGACCGUGGGAGAUACCAAGUGGCGAGCCAGGGGAGCCGGACGAGCUGGAAAAAAAAUUCAAGAGUCUUGCGGACUCCCAAACCC